UCCCUGGUGGCUUAGAAGGUAAAGAAUCUGCCUGUAAUGUAGGAGACUCGAGUUCGAUUCUGGGUCAGGAAG
rnacentral:tRNA from 1 species